GAAUUCGGUAAUUAGGGUGGGAAAAAACUGCGCGCUCAUUUCAAAAGAACAAUUUAAUUGAUCAACGAACAAUCAGAGCAGCUUCAAACCCCUGAUGUGAAGCUUUGAAGUUUGAACUGUGUUUGAUCAUUCGACAAUUGAUUUCAUGGCGUCUCGGAUUCCAAGAUUAGCAGCUCUUCGUUCUUUCUCCUCAAUCUCUGCCCUCAUCGGUUGCAAGAGUUACCGCCAACCACUGUUCCCUCCAAAAUCCGGCUUAAUCAAUUCGGCACACACCCACCUCUCGAAGAACCAAUCAGUUUAUAAGCAUUCAUCCUCUGAGAUUGAUUCAACACUAAAAGAUUGCAAUGAGAUUGGCCAUGAAGAAUUUCAAAAAUGGGGUAAUGGAGGUGGGACUUUCCAUAAGUCUUCUAGCAUUGAUCCAACGGCAAUCAUAGAGAUUGGUGCAGUAAUACAUGCAGAAUCUGUUGUAGCUGCAAAUGUUCAUGUUGGUUCAGGAUCCAUCAUUGGUCCUGCAGUUACAAUAGGCCAAUCAACAAGAGUAGGGUAUAAUGUUGCAGUCACUAAUUGCACAAUUGGUGAUUUUUGUGUUCUCCACAGUGGUGUCUGCAUUGGACAAGAUGGUUUUGGGUUUUUUGUGGACGAACAAGGAAAAAUGGUGAAGAAGCCUCAAAAUCUGAAUGUGAGAAUAGGAGCCCAUGUGGAGAUAGGGGCAAAUACAUGCAUUGACAGAGGCAGUUGGAGGGAUACUGUAAUUGGGGAUCAUUCAAAGAUAGAUAACUUGGUUCAGAUAGGUCACAAUGUAAUUAUUGGGAAGAACUGCAUGCUCUGUGGACAAGUUGGAAUUGCUGGCUCAGUAACCAUAGGUGACUAUGUAACUAUGGGGGGAAGAGUUGCAAUUCGUGAUCAUGUAUGCAUUGCCUCAAAGGUCAGGCUAGCAGCGAAUAGUUGUGUCACCAAGGAUAUAAAUGAGCCAGGGGAUUAUGGCGGCUUCCCUGCUGUUCCUAUUCGUGAAUGGCGGAGACAAGUUGCUACCCACCGCCAGUCCCUGAAGUAGGGAUCCAUUAGGUCACAUGGUUUACACUCUCUGCAAUGGUUGGGCUUUAUUCUUUAGACAAAUCUGUAAAGUGCAUACAUAUUGUGCAUUUUUGCCAGUCAAAUUGAUACAUUGAUGUGGGCAGACGAAAAAGGAGUUUGAAAGAGAUAAAGCCAACUACAGUCAAUAAGCACUCAAAAGCUCCCAUCUACACCUAAGAGUUAAGACAUUCCUUAGAAAGAUAUCACCUAAAGGAUAUCACAGAUCAUAAAGGUUUCCAUGUUCUUCCUUCUGAUACCAAGAAUUCUACGACGACAGAUCAUCACAACAGUACUUCUAUCAGGUUAGGCAUCGAAAUCUUGAAUCCCAACAAAGGUAUGAGCAUAUACUACAACGACAUCUACUUCACUAUGAACUACAACAAUGGAAUUGUUGUUGCAAAGAAUUCCACCCCGGGCUUCUAUCAGCCGUGCAAGAAUGAUACUAUGAGGGCAGUGGAAAUGAAAGCUGACCUGCAGUUUUUGCAGCAGAUUAUUACAGGUGGGAAUGUAAGUUUCAAGAUUGGAUUGGAGACGAAGGUUCAGUAUAUGUAUAGGAUAUUCAAGUGGAAAACAAAGCAUCAUAAGAUGGAUUAUGAAGCUUAUGUAUACAAUGUGACAGUUAGUGUUAAUGGAACUGAUUUAGGACAGAACGGCACUGUCUUUAAGAAAAAGUUUUGAAUCUGUACAAAUAAACAUGCAUUUUCCAAAUUUGUCUAAAGAUUAAUUAAAGCAUGCAUGCAUGUUUAUCCUGUU